CGCAGCAGGCGAGAAAACUUUGCAAUGUGCGAAAGCACGACAAGGUUAAUCCGAGUGGUUUCUGCUAAAGGAACCUUUUGUUAGUCCUAGAAACACUAACGAAUAAGGGGUGGGCAAGUUCUGGUGUCAGCCGCCGCGGUAAAACCAGCACCUCAAGUGGUCAGGAUGAUUAUUGGGCCUAAAGCAUCCGUAGCCGGCUCUGUAAGUUUUCGGUUAAAUCUGUACGCUCAACGUACAGGCUGCCGGGAAUACUGCAGAGCUAGGGAGUGGGAGAGGUAGACGGUACUCGGUAGGAAGGGGUAAAAUCCUUUGAUCUAUUGAUGACCACCUGUGGCGAAGGCGGCCUACCAGAACACGUCCGACGGUGAGGGAUGAAAGCUGGGGGAGCAAACCGGAUUAGAUACCCGGGUAGUCCCAGCUGUAAACUAUGCAAACUCAGUGAUGCAUUGGCUUGUGGCCAAUGCAGUGCUGCAGGGAAGCCGUUAAGUUUGCCGCCUGGGAAGUACGUACGCAAGUAUGAAACUUAAAGGAAUUGGCGGGGGAGCACCACAAGGGGUGAAGCCUGCGGUUCAAUUGGAGUCAACGCCAGAAAUCUUACCCGGAGAGACAGCAGAAUGAAGGUCAAGCUGAAGACUUUACCAGACAAGCUGAGAGGUGGUGCAUGGCCGUCGCCAGCUCGUGCCGUGAGAUGUCCUGUUAAGUCAGGUAACGAGCGAGAUCCCUGCCUCUAGUUGCCACCAUUACUCUCAGGAGUAGUGGGGCGAAUUAGCGGGGCCGCCGCAGUUAAUGCGGAGGAAGGAAGGGGCCACGGCAGGUCAGUAUGCCCCGAAACUCUGGGGCCACACGCGGGCUGCAAUGGUAAUGACAAUGGGUUCCAAAUCCGAAAGGAGGAGGUAAUCCUCAAACAUUACCACAGUUAUGACUGAGGGCUGCAACUCGCCCUCACGAAUAUGGAAUCCCUAGUAACUGCGUGUCAUUAUCGCGCGGUGAAUACGUCCCUGCUCCUUGCACACACCGCCCGUCGUUUCAUUGAAGUGAGCUUUUAGCGAGGUGACGUCUGAUUGGCGUUAUCGAACUUGAGGUUCGUGACAAGGGAAAAGUCGUAACAAGGUAACC
rnacentral:rRNA from 1 species